GAUACGGAAAACAGUUAUUCUGGGACAUGUGUGUUAACCAUUGCACCUUUUUUGUUAUGGUAGCGUGGAAUUACUGAAACCCCUUUUGGAGAUGCCUCGGUUCUUUGUGACAGGAUUUAUGUAAUCCAUGUAAGAAUGAGGAAGAUGAUUGCAUGGACAUUAUUGUCCUCGUUUCUGGCCUUCUAUGGCUGCAACCCAGACAAAUAAUUUAACUGUGUGUGGAGGAGCUCUUGUGGAAAAGCAAUGGGUUUUGACAGCAGCGCAUUGUGAGUAUGUUUCAGUCCUUUGCAGGAUCAGGUCAUAAAUCUGAAGGAGACCAUUAAAAAAUCAAUGAAAGGAAUGAGCACCAGCAGUCCUUGUGCAAGGGGCUCUCCUUAAAAAGCGAUUAAAUGAAUCAGAAGUUAGAGUUGUUCUUGGAGCCCAUCAAGCAUCCAUAGCUGAAAAAGAACCGCAGAUAUUUAAGGUUAUGCAUUACUUUCCUAAUCCUCAGUUUGGCAGGCCUUCCAAGGAAAAUGAUAUAAUGCUCCUCAAGCAGUGAAGACCAUAAUGCAUUGAAAAUACUGUGUGAAAUCCUGGCCUCACUGAAAUGAGUGGCAAAGCAUUUAUGUCACUGGGGUCGGCAUUCACCCACAAGAUGUGUACCACAGGGGAAAGAAAAAGAAGUAUUUAAAUAUUUGAAAAUACAGCCACAUGAUUGAUGAGGCAAAUGACAAAGGAUGUAGGAAGCAUGUGCAUGGAUGAAGAUCCUGGUGACACCCUGGGAAAACAAAUGGACCUGUGCUAGGUCCCUCCAAGUGCAGUGUGCUGGGAGGCCUUGACUGGUGUCUCUUCCAUGGAAGCCAAGAUAUUAAUUCAGUUCAGGUCCAAACCUGUUCACUGAAGUAGGUACCAAUUGCAUUUAGGAUGGGAACGCCUGAAGAACAACUGACAAAUGUCUCCCCGAAGAAGACUGCACCAGUUAGCCCAAAGUCUCAAAGAGGCCCCAGUCUGGAUAGACAAGAUGGACAGAGUGUGAGGUCUGUGAAGAAGAGACAUUAAUAAAGACGAGCUCUUAUUUUUAGGGUGUCUUUUGUGCAUGGCAUAAGUAGGUUUGUGAAGAAUAAAGCUGCAUAUAAAUCAGAAGGAGAGAGAAGACAUUUAAAUAAAGAGGUGAAAAUGUCAGCAGUGAAGAAAAACAGUGUAAUGAGAACUAAGGGUGAGCUGGAAAGAUUGAGUGAGAGAGAAGCCAGGAUAAAACAGCCACUUACCAUAAGGAAAGAAAGCGUGUGUAGCACUACGGAAAAUUCUUAACUGUUCCUGUCAGUGUCCUCACUCCUCUCAGCCUUUGGCUGGCUUUUCCUUGAAGUUUUAUUACCUUGGAGAUGCUGAAGUCCUCUUAUGGCUUUUCAUCUAAUUAUUCUGGAAAGUAUUUAUGCUUCAAAGAUGAGUACUUAUGAAAAGGAAGAGAGAUGUCUUCUUAAAGAAAAAUGAUGAUUCAUAUCAAUUUGAUGAUUUUCCUUAUCUAAUUGAAGUAGUUAAAAUUGUUUUUUACUCUGUCAAUGAGAAGGUUUUUAUCCUAGCGAUACUGCAAAAAGUACAUGGAGAUAUUAGCUCAUGAGGACACCUAACCUGAAUUCAUACAACUUGACAUUUCGGACAUAUGACCACAUAUUUUCUUGUUAGCAACCCUUGGAGUACAACAAGAGCUGAGCUUUUAGUAGCUUUGUCAUUCAUUACAGGAAACUGCUACUUAGUCAAGUCUAAACUAUAUAUAAAGCAUAGCUAAAACUUUGUUUUAGUACAGAAACAUAGGUAUCACAUUAAUACUUAAGAUACGGUUCUAUUCCCCCAAGUGUCUUUAUUUUUUCUUGAAGAGCAGCUAUCAAAAUCAGAUUAAGUUGCAAGUAAAAGGAUACUCCGCAACAGUUCUAAAAUAUUUGAUUCUAAAAUUUAUGCCUAGGAUUUGAAAACCAAACAGUGCACUUUGGGAUUCUGCACCGCUACCAAGAACAAACAUUUCUCAAAUGGGAAUUUGGCUUACUUAUCAGAGACUGAUAGGGUCAGAGUACUUGGGUUGAGGAGGGAAAGGAUGAAAUUCACAAUAUUUGUCAUUUUAUUGGCUGUUGCAUUAUUUUAUAUGUCACAACAAACUAACAAAAAUAUUUUUUCCAGUCUAAUAUGUUUUAUUGUAGUUCUGCAGAGAGCUAUUGAGAGCAUAGGCUGGAUGGCAAUAUAGCUAUCAGUGUGUAUUCCUACAUCGGUUAAUUAUGUCAAAGAGUGGGAGACAACAUAUCUUUCACAUUAUCUCACCAUUAAAACUCUGUACCAUAUGGGCAGAAUAUAUGCACCCAAGCACCUAAAUAAAACACAUGAAGAAUCGUCA